AAACUGGCUAAAUAUCAAUUUCUAAUUUCCAUAAGAAAAUUGAAUAUUGAUAGUUGAUAGUACAGUGGUUGGUUAACCAACUACUAUGGUCUGUGAUCUACUGUAUUUACUAUAUUUCACUAUAUCUAAUACUGUAAAUUUAAAUUUUUUAUACCUACCUACCACGAUUUGUACACAAACACCUAAAUACAUAAUGGAGUUAGAUGAUUAUGACAAUUUAUUUAAAGUGAUUGCUGUCGCAGAAGCAUUUGGUGAAUUA